AAAACAAAAUAAAAUACAGAACACUUAAAACGAGAUAACAAACAAAAUCCGUUACAAAAAUAAAUUAUGGCUACAGAAUUCAAAAUGUCGAAAAGACAUACAAUGAAUGUAGAUAUCACAGAAUUAUAAUAUAAAAUAUUUGAUAUAAUACGGUGGUUCAGCCCCUAUGGGAGCCAGGAACUAUUUUAGAAUAAAAUUGUGGCAACAUAUGUGGGUCAUGAUCGAUGUCCGGGUUCUCGUUAGUAUACCAACUGGAGAGAGAUAAGUUGAACUUGACCACUGCAGACUCCAUGAAUUUCAUUCAUCAGGGAGUUUUCGUGGGUGGCCAAUUUUUCAACAAAUACCCUUUGAUGGCGAAGUGCAUAUUUACAGAAGGGUUGGACUUCAGAGGUGUCAUAUAUUAUCUUCCGUUCAAAUAUUUCCAAUUCUUUGGCUACUAUUGGUGAGAUAGUGAACCAGAUUGAAAAUCCAUAUAACAAG